rnacentral:rRNA from 1 species
UACGGGGGGAGGCAAGCGUUGUUCGGAUUUACUGGGCGUAAAGGGGCGCGAGUAGGCGGCGGCAACAAGUCGACUUGUGAAAUCAUCCGGGCUUAACCCUGAGCUUGCGGUCGAUACGGGCAUGGACUGGAGUUCGGCAGGGGAGACUGGAAUUCCUGGUGAUAGCGGUGAAAUGACGCAGAUAUCAGGAGGAACACCCGGUGGCGAAGGCGGGUCUCGUGGGCCGAAUACGUGACGCU